rnacentral:rRNA from 1 species
AGAGUUUGAUUAUGGCUCAGGACGAACGCUGGCGGCGUGCUUAACACAUGCAAGUCGAACGGGAGUAUUGAAGAAGCUUGCUUAGAGAUACUUUAGUGGCGGACGGGUGAGUAACGCGUGAGGAGCUGUCCUAUGCAGGGGGACAACAGCUGGAAACGGCUGCUAAUACCCCAUAAGCCGAGAGGUAAAAGGAUCAAUCCGGCAGAGGAGGUACUCGCGUCCUAUCAGCUAGUAGGUGAGGUAACGGCUCACCUAGGCGAAGACGGGUAGCCGGCCUGAGAGGGCGAACGGCCACACUGGAACUGAGAUACGGUCCAGACUCCUACGGGAGGCAGCAGUGGGGAAUAUUGGGCAAUGGGGGGAAACCCUGACCCAGCGACGCCGCGUGGGUGAAGAAAUCCUUCGGGAUGUAAAGCCCUGUUGUAUGGGAAGAGCGGAAGACGGUACCAUACGAGGAAGCCCCGGCAAACUACGUGCCAGCCGCCGC